UUAGUAACGCGUGGGAAUGUACCCUUCUCUAUGGAAUAGCCUCGGGAAACUGAGAGUAAUACCAUAUACGCCCUUCGGGGGAAAGAUUUAUCGGAGAAGGAUCAGCCCGCGUAAGAUUAGAUAGUUGGUGGGGUAAUGGCCUACCAAGUCUACGAUCUUUAGCUGGUUUUAGAGGAUGAUCAGCAACACUGGGACCGAGACACGGCCCAGACUCCUACGGGAGGCAGCAGUGGGGAAUCUUAGACAAUGGGCGCAAGCCUGAUCUAGCCAUGCCGCGUGUGUGAUGAAGGCCUUAGGGUCGUAAAGCACUUUCGCCAGGGAUGAUAAUGACGGUACCUGGUAAAGAAACCCCGGCUAACUCCGUGCCAGCAGCCGCGGUAAUACGGAGGGGGUUAGCGUUGUUCGGAAUUACUGGGCGUAAAGCGCACGUAGGCGGAUCAGAAAGUUGGGGGUGAAAUCCCAGGGCUCAACCCUGGAACUGCCUCCAAAACUCCUGGUCUUGAGUUCGAGAGAGGUGAGUGGAAUUCCGAGUGUAGAGGUGAAAUUCGUAGAUAUUCGGAGGAACACCAGUGGCGAAGGCGGCUCACUGGCUCGAUACUGACGCUGAGGUGCGAAAGUGUGGGGAGCAAACAGGAUUAGAUACCCUGGUAGUCCACACCGUAAACGAUGAAUGCCAGUCGUCGGGCAGUAUACUGUUCGGUGACACACCUAACGGAUUAAGCAUUCCGCCUGGGGAGUACGGUCGCAAGAUUAAAACUC
rnacentral:rRNA from 1 species